UACGGGGGGUGCAAGCGUUGUCCGGAAUUACUGGGCGUAAAGGGCGUGUAGGCGGCUUAUUAAGUCAGAUGUGAAAGCCCACGGCUUAACCGUGGAACUGCAUUUGAAACUGGUAGACUUGAGUAUGAGAAGGGGUAGUGGAAUUCCCAGUGUAGCGGUGAAAUGCGUAGAUAUUGGGAAGAACACCAGUAGCGAAGGCGACUACCUGGCUCAUUACUGACGCUAAUGCGCGAAAGCGCGGGGAGCAAACAGG
rnacentral:rRNA from 1 species